UCUCUCCUUUCCAAAAAUUAACAACAAAAUUUUUGAUGGAAACUAAACAUUUUUGUAAGAUUAAAAAAAAAAAGUCCUUUUAAUUUAGGCAGGUUAGAGGUGUGGAGUUGGGAUGCGUUAAAUUCAAAUUAAGUUGACUGUCUAUUUACAAUUUCCACCACCUUUAACAAUCAAUUAAUAAAUCAAUCAUGCAUUGUUGAGCUUUUCGUUUAAUUUCAUACUCAAAAUCAUAGUCACAAAAAUGUGAAAAUAAAUUUAAAACCCAUCUCUAGGGCUUUUCAUUUAUUAAAAUUAACAUAAAUAAGAUAAUUUAAUCAACAUCAUCCCCUCACCCAUUUUAGAUUAAAUCUAAAAACUUUCUUUCUCUCUCUACUCUCCCCCCAUAUCUGUCUAAAAAUAUAAUCUUCAUAUUAUUCUAGUAAAUACUCCUAUUAAGGUACAAUACCCUAGAGUACACAGAAGCAAAAGAUAAAGAUGUGCAAAAAUACAAU